GACAUCCUGGGCCGGGGAUGGGUGUCGCUGGCAUUUUGAUUCACCUAGCGAUGUGAAAACUUCCUGAAACAGCAUGUGAUGAAUUCUUUGUAGAGUACACAUAACGGGAAUAAUUGAAUAGUUUCUGCAGCGGGUGUGUAGGCCCGUCAUCUCUGCCGCCUGGUUGUGUGGGGACAAGGAGUUCAAGUUGUGACUGGAGGAGUGGUGGUGUCCACUGGAGGGCAACUUUACUGGACCACUUGUAGAAGCUCAUCGUCAUGAAGUUCAUCUACACCAACUGAUACAGUUCCACUUUGACCCAAGAGAACAAUCUAGACUCAGAAUUUGCAAAAGGUAGGUAUUAUAUGGACAGAGUGGACAUGAUCCUAGAUCAGCACUCCUACUCUAAUGGUUAAUUCUCUCUCUCCCUCAUCCUUUCUAUAAAUUCAGAUUGACCCCAUUGUCUAUGAUUAGUAGAUGUGGGUGAGUGGACUACAGAUCUGUG
rnacentral:lncRNA from 1 species